UACAGAGGUGGCAAGCGUUGUUCGGAAUUACUGGGCGUAAAGGGCGCGUAGGCGGCCUACUAAGUCAGACGUGAAAUCCCCCGGCUUAACCUGGGAACUGCGUCUGAUACUGGGAGGCUAGAGUAUGGGAGAGGUAAGUGGAAUUCCGAGUGUAGAGGUGAAAUUCGUAGAUAUUCGGAAGAACACCAGUGGCGAAGGCGACUUACUGGACACAUAUUGACGCUGAGGUGCGAAAAGCGUGGGGGAGCAAACAGG
rnacentral:rRNA from 1 species